rnacentral:rRNA from 1 species
GCACUUUCAAUGGGGAAGAAUUUGAUGCUGCUAAUAUCGGCAUCAAUUGACGUUACCUAUAUAAGAAGCACCGGCUAACUCCGUGCCAGCAGCCGCGGUAAUACGGAGGGUGCAAGCGUUAAUCGGAAUUACUGGGCGUAAAGAGUACGUAGGUGGUUUAUUAAGUCAGAUGUGAAAUCCCUGAGCUUAACUUAGGAACUGCAUUUGAAACUGAUAAACUAGAGUUUCGUAGAGGGGGGUAGAAUUCCAGGUGUAGCGGUGAAAUGCGUAGAGAUCUGGAGGAAUACCAGUGGCGAAGGCGGCCCCCUGGACGAAGACUGACACUCAGGUACGAAAGCAUGGGGAGCAAACAGGAUUAGAUACCCUGGUAGUCCAUGCCGUAAACGAUGUCGAUUUGAAGGUUGUAACCUGUGAGUUAUAGCUUUCGGAGCUAACGCGUUAAAUCGACCGCCUGGGGAGUACGACCGCAAGGUUAAAACUCAAAUGAAUUGACGGGGGCCCGCACAAGCGGUGGAGCAUGUGGUUUAAUUCGAUGCAACACGAAGAACCUUACCUACUCUUGACAUCCAAAGAACUAUGUAGAGAUAUAUAGGUGCCUUCGGGAACUUUGAGACAGGUGCUGCAUGGCUGUCGUCAGCUCGUGUUGUGAAAUGUUGGGUUAAGUCCCGCAACGAGCGCAACCCUUGUCCUUUGUUGCCAACGAGUAAAGUCGGGAACUCAAAGGAGACUGCCAGUGAUAAACUGGAGGAAGGUGAGGA